GUCCAGGCUCUGAAUUAGAGUCAGUCUAUGGAGCGGUUUCUCCUGCCGCCCAGACCUCACGGUUCUGGGAGUCCAGAAGGGGAAGUGGCAAUGGCUUCUCUUCACCCUCAUGACAUUCUGCUGGUGAUGUGUUUGCUCCCUGUCCCCACAACUCUAGGUCCUCUUGGUGUAGAAGUCUGAGUUCUCGAGGGAGGAGAGUUUCCCGCAGAGACACCAACGGCUCCACCAGACUGGAAGGUGAGAUUGCACCAGGCCAUUUUGGGAUCCUCACUGCAGAGAAUCAAUAGGUAAAAAAGGCAGUUACUGCCCGGGCCACGGGACUGAUUUUAUCGGGCGGAAUCGGCCGGGUUGCACAAGGAGGAUGAGGAGGAGCACGUCUGGAAUGCGGAGGGUCCCCUGCAGCGCCUCUUAAGGUUCCCAUGUCCUGUGAUUAAAAUCAUGGAAAACCAUCACCCCUGAUCCAAGCAGGGUCAUUCAGGACCCAGGCUCUCCAGGAAUGAAGGCUUAGGGCAUCCCACCAGGCAAAGAGCCACAUCAGCUGAGUGCUUGCGGAGGCGAAGGCUAUGCGGGAGACGGAGGCUGAAACGCUAGUUCCCGCUGCUCGGCUGCUGCAGAAACGAAGCCUAUCACAGUGAGACCCAGGGCCCAGCCCAGAGACUCUCGGUCGGCUGGAAGAUCACCAGGCUCCCCCGGCUGGUUUCACGUCCUUCACAGACCACCCACGGCGCGCUGUCCAGCGUUUGAGAACUUGCCUCACAAACUGUGUGACUGCAUCCUGGUUGCUGGUUGUGUGCAGUGAAGGCCACGUGUGGUCCUAACUGCUCUAUCACGGCCCAAAGAGGAAGAAGGACCCGGCAGUGUUAACUUGGAACACGGUUAAAAUUGUAGCUGGCAGGUUUCUCCAAUGUCACGUUGAUGUUCUGUGCUUUGUAAUUUCCAGUUUGUGGGGAGAAACGUGAUGCCGUGUAACUUCCUGUUGCUUCUUAGACUUUUACUCACUCGUUUUAGCAUCAGUUGAGGAUUUGUGCCUAAAUAAUUGCUGUGCUGGUUGCCAAAUGCCUUCUAUGUUUAUUAGUUGG
rnacentral:lncRNA from 1 species